AGAGUUUGAUCAUGGCUCAGAUUGAACGCUGGCGGCAGGCCUAACACAUGCAAGUCGAACGGUAACAGGAAGCAGCUUGCUGCUUCGCUGACGAGUGGCGGACGGGUGAGUAAUGUCUGGGAAGCUGCCUGAUGGAGGGGGAUAACUACUGGGAACGGUAGCUAAUACCGCAUAAUGUCGCAAGACAAAAGAGGGGGACCUUCGGGCCUCUUGCCAUCGGAUGUGCCCAGAUGGGAUUAGCUUGUUGGUGGGGUAACGGCUCACCAAGGCGACGAUCCCUAGCUGGUCUGAGAGGAUGACCAGCCACACUGGAACUGAGACACGGUCCAGACUCCUACGGGAGGCAGCAGUGGGGAAUAUUGCACAAUGGGCGCAAGCCUGAUGCAGCCAUGCCGCGUGUAUGAAGAAGGCCUUCGGGUUGUAAAGUACUUUCAGCGGGGAGGAAGGGAGUAAAGUUAAUACCUUUGCUCAUUGACGUUACCCGCAGAAGAAGCACCGGCUAACUCCGUGCCAGCAGCCGCGGUAAUACGGAGGGUGCAAGCGUUGAUCGGAAUUACUGGGCGUAAAGCGCACGCAGGCGGUUUGUUAAGUCAGAUGUGAAAUCCCCGGGCUCAACCUGGGAACUGCAUCUGAUACUGGCAAGCUUGAGUCUCGUAGAGGGGGGUAGAAUUCCAGGUGUAGCGGUGAAAUGCGUAGAGAUCUGGAGGAAUACCGGUGGCGAAGGCGGCCCCCUGGACGAAGACUGACGCUCAGGUGCGAAAGCGUGGGGAGCAAACAGGAUUAGAUACCCUGGUAGUCCACGCCGUAAACGAUGUCGACUUGGAGGUUGUGCCCUUGAGGCGUGGCUUCCGGAGCUAACGCGUUAAGUCGACCGCCUGGGGAGUACGGCCGCAAGGUUAAAACUCAAAUGAAUUGACGGGGGCCCGCACAAGCGGUGGAGCAUGUGGUUUAAUUCGAUGCAACGCGAAGAACCUUACCUGGUCUUGACAUCCACGGAAGUUUUCAGAGAUGAGAAUGUGCCUUCGGGAACCGUGAGACAGGUGCUGCAUGGCUGUCGUCAGCUCGUGUUGUGAAAUGUUGGGUUAAGUCCCGCAACGAGCGCAACCCUUAUCCUUUGUUGCCAGCGGUCCGGCCGGGAACUCAAAGGAGACUGCCAGUGAUAAACUGGAGGAAGGUGGGGAUGACGUCAAGUCAUCAUGGCCCUUACGACCAGGGCUACACACGUGCUACAAUGGCGCAUACAAAGAGAAGCGACCUCGCGAGAGCAAGCGGACCUCAUAAAGUGCGUCGUAGUCCGGAUUGGAGUCUGCAACUCGACUCCAUGAAGUCGGAAUCGCUAGCAAUCGUGGAUCAGAAUGCCACGGUGAAUACGUUCCCGGGCCUUGUACACACCGCCCGUCACACCAUGGGAGUGGGUUGCAAAAGAAGUAGGUAGCUUAACCUUCGGGAGGGCGCUUACCACUUUGUGAUUCAUGACUGGGGUGAAGUCGUAACAAGGUA
rnacentral:rRNA from 1 species